rnacentral:rRNA from 1 species
UACGGAGGGCGCAAGCGUUGUCCGGAAUCACUGGGCGUAAAGGGCGCGUAGGCGGCUCAUGAAGGCUGUGGUGAAAGUCCGGGGCUCAACCUCGGAUCGGCCGUGGCGACUCGUGGGCUGGAGCACUGUAGAGGCGGGUGGAAUUCCGGGUGUAGCGGUGGAAUGCGUAGAGAUCCGGAGGAACACCGAUGGCGAAGGCAGAUCUCUGGGCCGUAACUGACGCUGAGGAGCGAAAGCAUGGGGAGCGAACAGG